rnacentral:rRNA from 1 species
UACAGAGGUCCCAAGCGUUUGUUCGGAUUCACUGGGCGUAAAGGGUGCGUAGGUGGCUAUUUUAAGUUUGAUGUGAAAGCUCCGGGCUCAACCCGGAAAUGGCAUUGAAGACUAUUAAGCUAGAGGUUUGGAGGGGGGACUGGAAUACUUGGUGUAGCAGUGAAAUGCGUAGAUAUCAAGUGGAACACCGGUGGCGAAGGCGAGUCCCUGGACAACACCUGACACUGAGGCACGAAAGCUAGGGGAGCAAACAGG